rnacentral:sRNA from 1 species
AUGAAAAACUAUAAAAAUCUAGCCUAUUUCGAGGUCCAGUCCAUUUUACUGGUCAGUUUUAGCACUAUGGCGCGUUGGACUACUACUUCAUUCUGUUUGUUCUUGAUUUUGGCGUGUGUAGAGAGUGGAUUGAUCCACACGGAAUUUCAUGUGGAUGCGGAGCUUGCAUUGAGUGUGGAUCAAAAGGACAACGCCAAUGAUACCUCACCAAUGAUGAGAGAGUCAAACGACGCCUCUGUUGUAUCAGAAACCCGAACAGACAGCAACGUCUCUAGCAAUAUUACAGCCGCGGACAAAAUCUUGAUUAUCAAGAAUGAAACAAAAAAGCUUUUUGAAGAUUUUAACAAGUCUCUGGUGUCCUCAAAUUCAUCUCCAGAGACCUCUCUGUUUAUCGGAUCUGCUACAGGUGAAAGUUUGAUUGACGCGAGCUCGAAAGGAAAUGUCGCAGCCGUCGACGAUGCGAAUCUGACAAGUGAUAAAACAACCCAGAUCACCACUGAUAUUAAAUCCACACAAACAUUUUCUUCCCAAAUUCCCCCUGACUCUCCCACGCCCACGUUAAGCUCCGUGACCAAUUCCUCACUGGUUGCCAAAGAAUCAGUGACCAAUGCCGAACAAAUUACUACGUUUCCAUCCGUCUCCUCAAAUAUGGACGUCACUGACGUUCACAUUCAGACCCCGCCAUUAUCAAGUACUGAAGUCUUAGCGUCUGCACCAUCUGAUGAUGUCCAGGUCUCAGUAUCAGAGACCACAGGGGCAACAGUCCUUGAUGCGACCCUUGAAACAGUUACUACAUCGGCCCCUGCUGUAGGAGACGUCUCAACCACGCCAUUACCUGCUGUAGCAGACGCAGAGCUUGUUGAAAAUUUAUCGAUGCUUUCAAAGACAAUGGAUGGGUUUGAUUUGAUUAUGGACAGCGCAAUCGAAGCUUCGAUCAACGAAAGUAAAGGUUUAUUUGAUACUACCGUGAGUGAUACCUCUGCAGCACCAGCUAAUCAAGAAAUUGUAUCCACUGGCGGCCCAUCACUUGAUUCAAGGACAACCGAAACUGUACUAACCUCAACUGGUAGUGUUUUUGAAACCCUUGAUAUUUCCGCAUCAAACAACAUAGGUGCUAGCGAGAGUAUUUCUUCCUCUUCAAAUAUUUCAACAGACACAACAACAAACGGGGUUGAGAACGUUGAUAUGGCAGCGUCGAUGUCAAUAACAACAGCGGUCGAAACUCCAAUUGAAACAACGACCUCUGCGGACAACGUUGUUAACGCACAGAUUAAGACCACGGAAAAGUUUACUGAACCAGUCAUUACACCAGUUGUAUCAACAGGCGAAAGCUUGCAAUCAACAGAAACUCCAACGGUUCCAACUCCAGUAUCAGCGACGGUGAAACCCACCGACAGCACAGACAAUGGUGUCACAUCUACUGAAAGAAUGGUUAUAUCUUCGGACUCUAUUGUUGCAAACCAAGUGGGAACAAUAAAAACAGACGAUCUAUCUCCCCCCACAGUGGUUGUUGACCAGGCUACUUCUGAUGUAGUCGAGACAACGGUAGAGACUUUAGAAACUAAACCAAUAGUAGACACAACAUCGGAGACCAAUGCACAGCAAGAUACAACAACCAUGCAGAAUACUGCAGAGUCGGUCUCAGCAACGUCAUCAGCCUCAUCAGGAACUAGAAAGGCCCCCUCGACAGCAAGCACCACCCCGAGACCAUGCCCUGUGUACCAAACCAAGUACAACCGAAACGACCUUCUGGUGACUACUGAGCCCGAGGGCUGUACCAUGAUUUCAAAGAUAGUGGACUUGAGAGGUCAAUUUAGGGGGUCUAACCGCAUGAUAUGGAGAAAAAUGCACGCAGGCCUGAGAGGACUGCGGUACCCCGAUGUUUCCUUCAAAUACGAGGGUGAAGAUGGCGGAACCGACGAGAAGUGUCGAAUGCCCACUAAAACAGUGGGGCCCUAUAUUGUUGUAGAUACCAUACCGGGGCGAUGCCAAAUGGUGGUUGGUUUGAGAAGCGUUAGAGCCCCUAUCCAGAUAAAUAACCCACCCGGAAAGAAAGGACCACCACAGCGCCUGUUUAGAUUCCGAUUAGUCAUGCGUCCCGUGGUGGAAUAUUUAGAGGGAGACUUGCUGUAA